rnacentral:rRNA from 1 species
UACGAAGGGGGCUAGCGUUGCUCGGAAUCACUGGGCGUAAAGGGUGCGUAGGCGGGUCUUUAAGUCAGGGGUGAAAUCCUGGAGCUCAACUCCAGAACUGCCUUUGAUACUGAAGAUCUUGAGUUCGGGAGAGGUGAGUGGAACUGCGAGUGUAGAGGUGAAAUUCGUAGAUAUUCGCUAGAACACCAGUGGCGAAGGCGGCUCACUGGCCCGAUACUGACGCUGAGGCACGAAAGCGUGGGGAGCAAACAGG